GGAGAGGUGGCCGAGAGGCUGAAGGCGACGGUUUGCUAAACCGUUAUACGGCUUACCGUAUCGAGGGUUCGAAUCCCUCUCUCUCCGCCA
rnacentral:tRNA from 1 species